rnacentral:lncRNA from 1 species
GCUUAAUCAAGGCGGAUGAAGAAAGUUGUACUCUAUGCAUCACUGAAAAUAUCCAAGGGAAAGGGAAAAGAAAUACCAGCUUAUAUAAAAAGAUAACUUGGCCAGAAGAAGAUAUCAGGAACAAUAUCAGGAAUCUUUCUGGAGCAUUUCAUAGAAUUACAUCAGAAUCUGAUAUGGAAAGUUUUUUUUUAUUCAUUUUCUCUGUGUUAGAUUUAUUUUCUGGAAUUCUGUCGAAUGAUAAAAAAAAUACAUUUUCUCUAUUGUUUUGUUCUUAUUUAUAGAAGUCAUUAAAAUUUAAAAGGUUUGAAAUUAAUUAAAAUUAAUCAGAUAGUUGAAGAUCAUUUAAAGACCUUUCUUGGAAGGGCACUUCAAAUUGUGUCUGAACUACUUUGGCCUUUUCAAUGAUAAUUUAGGAGCAAGAAGUAAUAUCCUUAUGUUCCACUCCUAGAUGGAAUGUUAAACAGUGUCGUCUUGGGGAAGUAAAAUACAUCCUUUUUGUAGGAAAUAAAUUUUCUUUCAGUUUUGUCUGAUAUGGGCCCUGCUAUCUUGGGAAAGUUAUGGAGGGAACACAGAAGGCUUGUGAGACCUCAGAAGAAAUGAUUGGCCAGAUCCCCUUCUGUGACUGGCAGUAUUUCCAUGCUACCACCGAUUCCAGUUGUGCCAACCACAUUGGGCCCAGGGCUGUGAAAACAAAGACCCGGUGUAUUUACUUUUUGAUCACAGUGAAAAGCAUGAUGGGGUGGUCAAAUGCGUGUUAAGUUCUUCAUGCCUUAAUUUAUUGAAACUCCACGGUUGGGGCCAAGGAGUACUCUGUUGUUUUGUUCAUUAAAGCCACACAAUCUGCAGCAGGAAGUAAAAUAGAAAUUCAAAACAAGAAUUCUCAAGAAGGUAAUCACUGUUUAUAGAUGGCAAAGUAAAAUCAAAACUACACAGACUACUGACACUAAUAAAAAUUCAAAAAAAAAUCUCUCUCA